rnacentral:rRNA from 1 species
AGAGUUUGAUCCUGGCUCAGAUUGAACGCUGGCGGCAGGCCUAACACAUGCAAGUCGAACGGUAACAGGAAGAAGCUUGCUUCUUUGCUGACGAGUGGCGGACGGGUGAGUAAUGUCUGGGAAACUGCCUGAUGGAGGGGGAUAACUACUGGAAACGGUAGCUAAUACCGCAUAACGUCGCAAGACCAAAGAGGGGGACCUUCGGGCCUCUUGCCAUCGGAUGUGCCCAGAUGGGAUUAGCUAGUAGGUGGGGUAACGGCUCACCUAGGCGACGAUCCCUAGCUGGUCUGAGAGGAUGACCAGCCACACUGGAACUGAGACACGGUCCAGAUUCCUACGGGAGGCAGCAGUGGGGAAUAUUGCACAAUGGGCGCAAGCCUGAUGCAGCCAUGCCGCGUGUAUGAAGAAGGCCUUCGGGUUGUAAAGUACUUUCAGCGGGGAGGAAGGGAGUAAAGUUAAUACCUUUGCUCAUUGACGUUACCCGCAGAAGAAGCACCGGCUAACUCCGUGCCAGCAGCCGCGGUAAUACGGAGGGUGCAAGCGUUAAUCGGAAUUACUGGGCGUAAAGCGCACGCAGGCGGUUUGUUAAGUCAGAUGUGAAAUCCCCGGGCUCAACCUGGGAACUGCAUCUGAUACUGGCAAGCUUGAGUCUCGUAGAGGGGGGUAGAAUUCCAGUGUAGCGGUGGAAUGCGUAGAGAUCUGGAGGAAUACCGGUGGCGAAGCGCCCUCUGGACGAAGACUGACGCUCAGUGCGAAAGCGUGGGAGCAAACAGAUUAGAUACCCUGNAGUCACGCGUAAACGAUGUCGACUUGAGUUGUGCCCUGAGGCGUGGCUUCNGANCUACGCGUAAGUCGACGCUGGGAG